GCGAAUAUGGCGGAAUGGUAGACGCGCAGGAUUUAGGGUUCUGUGACUUUAAAAUCGUGGAGGUUCAAGUCCUCUUAUUCGCA
rnacentral:tRNA from 2 species